CUGCCCAUAAGACUGGGAUAACUCCGGGAAACCGGGGCUAAUACCGGAUAACAUUUUGAACCGCAUGGUUCGAAAUUGAAAGGCGGCUUCGGCUGUCACUUAUGGAUGGACCCGCGUCGCAUUAGCUAGUUGGUGAGGUAACGGCUCACCAAGGCAACGAUGCGUAGCCGACCUGAGAGGGUGAUCGGCCACACUGGGACUGAGACACGGCCCAGACUCCUACGGGAGGCAGCAGUAGGGAAUCUUCCGCAAUGGACGAAAGUCUGACGGAGCAACGCCGCGUGAGUGAUGAAGGCUUUCGGGUCGUAAAACUCUGUUGUUAGGGAAGAACAAGUGCUAGUUGAAUAAGCUGGCACCUUGACGGUACCUAACCAGAAAGCCACGGCUAACUACGUGCCAGCAGCCGCGGUAAUACGUAGGUGGCAAGCGUUAUCCGGAAUUAUUGGGCGUAAAGCGCGCGCAGGUGGUUUCUUAAGUCUGAUGUGAAAGCCCACGGCUCAACCGUGGAGGGUCAUUGGAAACUGGGAGACUUGAGUGCAGAAGAGGAAAGUGGAAUUCCAUGUGUAGCGGUGAAAU
rnacentral:rRNA from 1 species